GUGCUCGCUUCGGCAACACGCACACUAACAUUGGAACAAUGCAGAGAAGAUUAGCAUGGCCCUGCAUGGGAAGGUCACACAAAUCUGUGAAGUGGUCCAUAUUUUU